rnacentral:snRNA from 1 species
GGACGUGAGGGUGGUCUGGCUGUGACAUCAGUCACCCCGUUGAUCACCAGGCUUGAUUCGUCUGAGCUGGCUGGCCAAGUGGGUGUUCCUUCACCCCUCACUGCUUGUCAGGCAUCAGGCGUCCCUCCCAAAGCCGCGUGCUCUGUGGAAGAGGACGUCCUUCCUGGGGUAUAGGAGUGGCGCUCGGUCAAGGGCAUAUGAGCAGCUGCUGCGCUCCCUGGCUUGACUCUCCAAACCAGCUUUAAAGGCCCAUUUAUAGCAAGAAGAAAGUGGAGUAGUCACGCUUCCAAGACUCCAGACACAUCCAAAUGAGACACGGCAGUCUGCCUUUCUUA